GUGAGGAAUAUUGGGCAAUGGGCGAAAGCCUGACCCAGCAACGCCGCGUGAAGGAAGAAGGUCUUCGGAUCGUAAACUUCUAUCCUUGGUGAAGAUAAUGACGGUAGCCGAGAAGGAAGCCCCGGCUAACUACGUGCCAGCAGCCGCGGUAAUACGUAGGGGGCAAGCGUUGUCCGGAAUGAUUGGGCGUAAAGGGCGCGUAGGCGGCCUGGUAAGUCUGGAGUGAAAGUCCUGCUUUUAAGGUGGGAAUUGCUUUGGAUACUGUCGGGCUUGAGUGCAGGAGAGGUAAGUGAAAUUCACGGUGUAGCGGUGAAAUGCGUAGAGAUGGGGAGGAACACCAGUGGCGAAGGCGACUUACUGGACUGUAACUUACGCUGAGGCGCGAAAGUGUGGGGAGCAAACAGGAUUAGAAACCCCAGUAGUCC
rnacentral:rRNA from 1 species